GGGCGGAAGCCUGAUGCAGCAACGCCGCGUGAGGGAUGACGGCCUUCGGGUUGUAAACCUCUUUUAGCAGGGAAGAAGCGAAAGUGACGGUACCUGCAGAAAAAGCGCCGGCUAACUACGUGCCAGCAGCCGCGGUAAUACGUAGGGCGCAAGCGUUAUCCGGAAUUAUUGGGCGUAAAGAGUCUCGUAGGCGGUUUGUCGCGUCUGCUGUGAAAUCCCGAGGCUCAACCUCGGGCCUGCAGUGGGUACGGGCAGACUAGAGUGCGGUAGGGGAGAUUGGAAUUCCUGGUGUAGCGGUGGAAUGCGCAGAUAUCAGGAGGAACACCGAUGGCGAAGGCAGAUCUCUGGGCCGUAACUGACGCUGAGGAGCGAAAGGGUGGGGAGCAAACAGGCUUAGAUACCCUGGUAGUCCACCCCGUAAACGUUGGGAACUAGUUGUGGGGUCCAUUCCACGGAUUCCGUGACGCAGCUAACGCAUUAAGUUCCCCGCCUGGGGAGUACGGCCGC
rnacentral:rRNA from 1 species